UAAGCAGAGACGAGCCGAACACCUGGCACGGUCCUUCUCUACUGUUCUCUCGAAUCGUUUUCUGAGUGCAUGACUGAGCCUGGCACUGAAGGGAUACUUAUUUUGGGGAAGGAAGAACUCAAAAGUCCAGUUUUUUUCACUGUUGACCCUCAUGUGUCACAUUAGUGGCUUUCAAACUGUUUUGAUCCCAGCCUACGGUGAACAAAAAUAUUUUACAUCAAACUCAAUACCACAUACUUGUUACCUGCUUCCUGUCUGGUUGAUGAAAUGCCAAGGUGAAAGGGAUGGCCAAUUGGAU
rnacentral:lncRNA from 10 species